rnacentral:rRNA from 1 species
GACGAACGCUGGCGGCGUGCUUAACACAUGCAAGUCGAACGGAAAGGCCCUGCUUUUGUGGGGUGCUCGAGUGGCGAACGGGUGAGUAACACGUGAGUAACCUGCCCUUGACUUUGGGAUAACUUCAGGAAACUGGGGCUAAUACCGGAUAGGAGCUCCUGCUGCAUGGUGGGGGUUGGAAAGUUUCGGCGGUUGGGGAUGGACUCGCGGCUUAUCAGCUUGUUGGUGGGGUAGUGGCUUACCAAGGCUUUGACGGGUAGCCGGCCUGGGAGGGUGACCGGCCCCAUUGGGAAGGAGAGACGGACCAUGGGCCUACGGGAGGCAGGAGUGGGGAAUAUUGCACAAUGGGCGGCGACCUGAUGGAGCAACGUCGCGUGCGGGAUGACGGCCUUCGGGUUGGAAACCGCUUUCGCCUGUGACGAAGCGUGAGUGACGGUAAUGGGUAAAGAAGCACCGGCUAACACGUG